GCAGAGGACUGGAGAGUACAAAAGGAGGAGGCUCCCCUUCGGAGAGCAGAGAUAAGAGGAGGCAGGGAGUGAAACUGCCUGAGGAACAGAGAGGAGAGGGGAGGAGAGGAGAGGAGAGGAGAAGAGAGCAGAGGAGAGAUCAGAUCUGUAGCUAGGUCACAUCUGGACAGGACCCAAGUCCAAGGUAAAUCGAGAACAAGUGAUGGAACUAAAGAAUGAAGGAGAAAUGGGUGGACAGGGCACAAAUUGGGGAAUGACAGCCUAUUCAGUGAGGAUAGGAAAUGCACAUAAAGGACAGAUGAAGAUGAUUUCUCUGUGUGUGAUUAGAAGGAUAGCAAUUACAAAGAUAAGAGUGAAAGGAGAGGGAGGAAAGGGGAAAAGGGAAUAAGUAAGAAGACAAAAUAAGCAAUGAGUGUCUAAGUACCGAUCUGAAUGCUUAGAAAAUCACCAGGCUGUUAGGCUGAGCCAAAAGAAGAGCCACAGCCGUACCCAAGAGGGGACCAUCGGAAAGACAGAAGCAGGCAAUUUAAGUAGCUAGCUACUGGGGUAAAAUGAAAAAAAAGAAAAAAUAGAAGAUGGAAAAGGUGAGAAGCAAAAGAGGGAAAACCCAAAGGAGACACUGGCCCAGAAACCUUUUUAACUUUCUGUAAGAAUCUUCAAGGCCCCAAACUAGGCCAAGAUUCUGACUGACAUUUCUGAGCUCACCAGCUGCCGUUUCCUUGAGAGAAUUCUGACAGGAAGGCAUAGAAAUGCGAACCAACACUGCCAGCUCUGGAAAAUAAAUAAAUAAGUAAAUAACUAUCCACAUCCUAAACACCUCAGUGGGGGCCGAAGCCUGCUGGGGAAGAAAGCCCAGCGAGGAGGAGGGACCCGCCUGCAACUUUUCCCCAGGCUUAGACAAAUGAUGCUUGAGACACACCAAGAUACCUGCACACUAGAGGCUGCAGUCACCUCAGAAGAAAGAUGCCCCCUGCUCUGGCUGGUCAAACGGAACCAAGUCCGUCUUCCUGAGAGGUUUGGUCCCCUUCAACCAGCUACAGCAGGGCUGGCAAUGCCCAGUCCUUGGAGAAACAGAAGAGAUUCAACUGCAACUGAAAUUACCUACUAAAACUUUCCUUGAGAAAACAAUUCUGGUUUUUUCACCAUAUUCUUAUGCUCCCAGGAAGGAAGAGAAGAGGAGUCCUGGAGUCAAAAGUGAGCAAGAUUUUAAUGCUCAACACACACUGUUCUGUGCCUUUGCACUCACAGCUGCAGCCACUUACAUGCUUUUGACAGACACACAGUCAAGAAAGAGUUUGAGGAUGGAGUUUGUGCCAACCCUAAGCCAGCCAGGGGAAGAGCAUGAGACAUAGAAGACAGGGCUCCUGCUCACUAGGGGCUAACAGUCUAAGGAAAGAAAUUAGACAUGUAUAUAUGGUGUGAUCCAAUUGAAUUGCAAGUUAUAGCAUGGCUAGUUCCAAGGCAUAAUUCUUACCUAUCCCACCAAAUAUGCCUAGCACAUUAUGUAUCAUCAAGUCUCUAUUGAUCUAUUCAGCCCAAGAUAUCUAUUCACUAAGCAAUCAUUUCUCAGUUCCCUGAUCUGUAGAAUAGGGAUAAUAGUACCUGUCACACCAGGCACAGUGGCUUAUGCCUAAAAUCUCAGCAUUUGGGGUGGCUAAGACAGGGGAUUGCUUGAGGCCAGGAGUUCCAGAUCAGCCUGGUCAACAUAGCAAGAUGCUGUUUCUACCAAAAAAAAAUUUUUUUUGUUUUAAUUAGCUGAAUGCGGUAGUGCACACCUAUAGUCCUAGCUACUUGGGAGGCUGAGGCAGGAAGAUCACUUAAGUCCAGGAGAUGGAGGCUGUAAUGAGCUAAGUUCUCAUAAUCGCUACCUUUUACUAAGGGAGAAUUCUGACCUGUCCUUCCAGUUUAUCUUUUAAGAUUUGUAUCUUUUAUGGUGUGUGUCUGGAACUUAGACAGUAAUAAGUAAAUAUUUGGGUUUAAAAUUCUAUAGACAUGUGUGUUCACAUGCUGUAUUCUGACACAAAUGGGGUAGCAUAAGUGCCUAGAGCCCACCACAGUGACCUCAGAGGAGAACACAGAGCUUACUAGCACAAAUCUUUGCAUUCAGGAAGACCUGGGGUUGAAUGCUGCCCCUCUAAUUUAUUAGCUGUGAUAUAUCCUCUCCGCAGCUCAAUUAACAUUGCACAAGCCUUAGUUUACUCAUCUGUAAAAUGGGGACAAUGAUACCAACCUCAGUUACCGUAAGGCUUAAAACAGACAGUGUUAAUAAAGAGCCAAAUAUAAGCCCUUAAGAAAUAGUAGCUGUUGUUUUACUGCUGUAAAUGGCAACAGCACAAGGACAAUGCUGUGUCCACAGGCACUUGUAUGUAGAAGGAAAGAGCCAAAUUAAAAAAAAAAUAGGAGAAGAACUCAAAAAAUACAUAAAGGCUCAUUGCUCACUGUAGGGUUUUGUUUUUUGUUGUUGUUGUUUUGUUUUUGUUUUUGUUUAUUUUUUGAGACAGGGUCUCACUCUGUUGCCCAGAUAGGAGUGCAGUGGCACGAUUUCAGCUCACUGCAACCUCCGCCUCCCAGGCUCAAGCGAUUCUCCUGCCUCAGCCUCCCAAGCAGCUGAGAUUACAGGCACGCACCACUACCACCCGACUAAGUUUUAUAUUUUUAGUAGAGACAGGGUUUCACCAUGUUGGCCAGGCUGGUCUUGAACUCCUGACCUCAAGUGAUCCGCCCGCCUUGGCCUCCCAAAGUGCUGGGAUUACAAAUGUGAGCCACCGUGCCCAGCCUAUAGGGUAUUUUUAUAUUCCAACUAUUAAUUCUACUAGCAUGUAGCAUACAUGCAUUCACCCUAGUACAUAUGACUAGCAUAUAAUAUGCUUUACUUUUAAAAAAUGCUUUAUACAUGAGACUGAUCUUACCAUCUUCAAUAUCCUGUCUGGAAAGCCUUCAUUUGUGAGUGCUGUUGAGAUCACAUGUCCUCCCAAGUAGGACAUGGAGUGUGAAGGCCAUUGAGUGGGUGUUCCAAAGGGCAGCACAGAAUGGAGUUUAGUUGAAGGUGCUGGGGACACACUACCUGGGCUCAAGUCCCAGCUCCCCACUCUCCAGCUGUGCCACUUGAGCAAGUUGCUUGACCUCUCCAGGCCUGGGUUUCCUCAUCUGUAAAGUAGGAAUAUUGAUAAUAAUAUCUACUUCAUAGAGUUUCAUGAGAAUACAUGUAAAGGCCUGAAACCAGUAUUGGGUACAUAAUAAUACAUUCUUAAGAGUCUUUAUUUCUGACAAUGUACCUGAAAUGUUCCUGAAAUUAAGUUGGUGUUCAAUAAAAACAUGUUCACUGAAAGAUCAGCUUCUUUGUUUAUUUUAAGCACAAACUAUGGGAUCAUGUAAUUUUUGGUUCAACUAUUUCUACUUAUCUCUUUCAAUGCAGCACACUGGUUCAAAGCAGUAGUAAGGUGUGGGGGAAGGAUGGCAACAAGCUUCUCUCUGCUUCCCAGGUCUGUGAUGAAAUGGAACUUCCCUGCGAACUAGGGGUAUGCCUCUGGGAGUAGAAGCAGGGUGAUCU
rnacentral:lncRNA from 1 species